rnacentral:rRNA from 1 species
CGGAGGAUCCAAGCGUUAUUCGGAAUCAUUGGGUUUAAAGGGUCCGUAGGCGGUUUAGUAAGUCAGUGGUGAAAGCCCAUCGCUCAACGGUGGAACGGCCAUUGAUACUGCUAGACUUGAAUUAUUAGGAAGUAACUAGAAUAUGUAGUGUAGCGGUGAAAUGCUUAGAGAUUACAUGGAAUACCAAUUGCGAAGGCAGGUUACUACUAAUGGAUUGACGCUGAUGGACGAAAGCGUGGGUAGCGAACAGGAUUAGAUACCCUGGUAGUCCACGCCGUAAACGAUGGAUACUAGCUGUUGGGAGCGAUCUCAGUGGCUAAGCGAAAGUGAUAAGUAUCCCACCUGGGGAGUACGUUCGCAAGAAUG